GGCAAAUCAUUUCAGCCUCAGUGCCUCACCGAGUAACCAAUCGCCUUCAUCUCUAUUCUCGUUCUCCACUCUGAACUUGCGCCUCUCUCUCUCUCUCUCUCUCUCUCUCUCUCUCUCUCUGCAACUGCAACUGCAACUGCAACCUACAAAAUCUACAAGAAUCAGAAGUUCAAAACCCAUAUAUUUCAGUUUAUCUAUCUGUCUGCAAGAAUCAAAAGUUCAAAACCCAUAUCGGAAACCCAAAUCUUUCAGUUUCCAUCGCCCGCUGUUCCAGAUCGGGUUCGCCGUUCGCAAGCUUCGGCCGCUGUCUCUCAAGCUUGCCCCCCUCUCUCUCUGCAACUGCUAACUUUGUUAUCAUCGGGCCUUAACAUUUAGCAAGAACAAGGUUCAAGAAACAUGUCUCCUCAGUCAUCAGGUCUCUUUUCUAAAAGAAGAGAGUUGAUGGGAAUGGGUGGAGUAUGGCAAAAGAAUACAGGUGGCCUUUUGAAUGCUGGAAGGAUUGGCAGGGAGGGUCAAAAUGAUACCUAUGAAGGGUUGCCCAUGUAUGUCCUAGAUGGAGUUGAACCUGAUUUAAUAGACACUACUGGAAAUGUUAGGUUGCAAUACUUACGAUGAAUUUGCAAGAAGAUUGCAUGAAUCGUGGGCAAAAGUUUUGAAUGAAGAACAUCUUGCGAUUGUUCCACCUAUGCCGUUGACCUGUCCAACUAACAACUUGAAAUUUGAUUAUUUUGAUGUGUUGGAGGUAGUGCGCAUUGAUUUGUCUCCAUAUGCAGCGGACUGGGAUGAAUUUGGAUCUACGUUGGAUCGAGUAUUGACAACUCCUAGUAAUUGAGCAGAAACUGCGGGAAGAACUACGAAUAGAGGGUAAGAAGACAGACUUUUUUUUGGAGGUUGAUGCUGUUCUAAGUUGAUUGAUAACCUUCGUUCAUUUUCAAAACAAGGCAUUUUUAGAUCUUUUACUUAUACUAAAAUACCUCAAUCAAUGUAUCUUUUAAGUCACUAACCCCUUUUAAUGUAUAAAGAAUGAAUCUUUGAAAGAAAAUGAGAGUUUUUAGUUAAACUUAUUUGAGUUUCUUUGAAGGUACAAAGAGUUUUAAUGAGGAAAGAUUGAAUCUUUGAAUGAAAAUACGUCAAUUAAUGUACCUAUUAUGUCACCAGACCUUUUUAAUUUAUAAAGAUUGAAUUUUUGAGAAAAAGUGAGACAUUGAGUUAAACUUAUUCGAGUUUCUUAUGAAGUCGCGAGGAGUGUAUAGUCAUUACUGCGCUUAAUGAGCGCUGGUAAAGGAAAUCACAAUCCCUUAAUCUAUUCUUGACCUUUGAUACCACAGCAUCCUCAAAUGAAAAACCUUAAUCCUUACCAAAGGGUCUUUGGUUUAAUGGUAUAACCUCCUCAUCUUCAAAGAAGAGGGGAGGGGUUCGAGCCUAGGCGUGAGCAAAAAUGUGUGUGUGUUUGCUUUACCAUUAAAAAAAAAAAAAAAAAAAAAAAA